rnacentral:rRNA from 1 species
AGAGUUUGAUCCUGGCUCAGGAUGAACGCUAGCGGCAGGCUUAAUACAUGCAAGUCGAGGGGCAGCACGGGGAGCAAUACCUGGUGGCGACCGGCGCACGGGUGCGUAACGCGUAUGUAAUCUACCAUUAACCGGGGAAUAGCCCAGAGAAAUCUGGAUUAAUGCCCCAUAGUAUUAUCGAAAGGCAUCUUUUGAUAAUUAAAGCUCAGGCGGUUUUUGAUGAACAUGCGUGUCAUUAGUUUGUUGGUGAGGUAACGGCUCACCAAGACUACGAUGACUAGGGGGUCUGAGAGGAUGAUCCCCCACACUGGUACUGAGACACGGACCAGACUCCUACGGGAGGCAGCAGUAAGGAAUAUUGGGCAAUGGAGGCAACUCUGACCCAGCCAUGCCGCGUGAAGGAUUGACGGCCCUCUGGGUUGUAAACUUCUUUUGUACGGGAAUAACCCUCCGAACGUGUUCGGAGCUGAAGGUACCGUAAGAAUAAGGAUCGGCUAACUACGUGCCAGCAGCCGCGGUAAUACGUAGGAUCCAAGCGUUAUCCGGAUUUACUGGGUUUAAAGGGUGCGUAGGCGGAAUAAUAAGUCAGUGGUGAAAUCCUGCAGCUUAACGGUAGAAUUGCCAUUGAAACUGUAAUUCUUGAGUAUGGUUGAGGUAGGUGGAAUGUGUUGUGUAGCGGUGAAAUGCGUAGAUAUGACACAGAACGCCAAUUGCGAAGGCAGCUCACUAAUCUGCUACUGACGCUGAAGCACGAAAGCGUGGGGAUCAAACAGGAUUAGAUACCCUAGUAGUCCACGCUGUAAACUAUGCUCACUAGAUGUCUGCGAUACACAGUAUGCGUCUAAGCGAAGGCGUUAAGUGAGCCACCUGGGGAGUACGAUCGCAAGAUUGAAACUCAAAGGAAUUGACGGGGGCCCGCACAAGCGGAGGAGCAUGUGGUUUAAUUCGAUGAUACGCGAGGAACCUUACCUGGGCUUAAAUGUAGAACGACAGAUUGUGAAAAACAGAUUUUUCCUUCGGAGCAGACUGCAAGGUGCUGCAUGGUUGUCGUCAGCUCGUGCCGUGAGGUGUCGGGUUAAGUCCCAUAACGAGCGCAACCCUUGCUUUUAGUUGCCAGCAUGUAAUGAUGGGGACUCUAAAGGAACUGCCUACGCAAGUAGUGAGGAAGGUGGGGAUGACGUCAAAUCAGCACGGCCCUUAUGUCCAGGGCUACACACGUGUUACAAUGGCCGAUACAAAGGGCAGCUACCAGGUGACUGGAUGCUAAUCUCUAAAGUCGGUCUCAGUUCGGAUCGAAGUCUGCAACCCGACUUCGUGAAGCUGGAUUCGCUAGUAAUCGCGCAUCAGCCAUGGCGCGGUGAAUACGUUCCCGGGCCUUGUACACACCGCCCGUCAAGCCAUGGAAGUUGGGGGUGCCUAAAGUUCGUGACCGCAAGGAGCGACCUAGGGUAAAACCAAUGACUGGGGCUAAGUCGUAACAAGGUAACC